UAACAACCUAUGAGGGGCUUUGUGAAAUUAUCCACGCUCGGGACUCCACCCUGGCCCGAUGAGGUCAGAAGCGCGGGGAGUGCGGCCCAGGUGUGGGUACUUUUUGCCGCUCCCUUGAUGAUUCUAGAAGGCCGCCAGGGUGGUGAACCACUUCCUUUAGUGAGAUGGCCCUUAGGUCCGAGAACCUGGAACCUCCAGCUGGUGUGUGUGAGGUUUGCUUUGCGGUAGAGACAGCGAAAAGAGGUGGUUGGCCGUAGUGGUGGUGGCGGGAGGGAAAUAGAAGCCCAGGAUGGAAUUCUUCAGCUGGGAGAUACGGGGCAAAAUAAUAUCAAGCAGGCAUAGGACUUAAUUCCUCUGGCACUUCCCCUUUUCUCCAACCCCAGGGAGAUAGAAACAGUUAAAAAAAAAUUAAUUUAUAAAAGGCAUCAGAGUCAUCCUGAAACUUCUCAGCAGAAAAAAAAAAACAAAAAACAAAAAAAAAACCAAGCGUCUCUAUUCAGAGGCACACUGCCCUUCUUCUUUUGUCUUCUAGCCUGGUGAGAACACACAUCAUAUACAGCCUGUCUUUACAAACUGCUGGCUCUUUUCAUGAAUAUUCAAUGGUUUUGCCCACACUUUGUCUCAGUCUCUCUCCCCCCCCCCCCCCCAACUACCAUCUUAGAUGCAGUGACUUUGAGCUACCACUUAAAAAAAAAAAAAAAGUAAAGUCCAUCAAGGCGCCUUCCAGUGAAGCCGGAUGUCGUAGGGGGGUGGUGGUGGAAACUAGGAGUCCUACUGUGUACCAGACUCAAACUAAAAGGUUGUAAUGACCUUAUCUCGGCAAAAGAUUUUUAUCUUCACGGUUUAUUUAAUCACUGGUCCCCUCGAAUUAGGAGCUAAGCCUCUGAUGGGCGACUGUCGAUCCUUAUCAAAACUACUAAGACAUAUUUCAACCGUGGAGGAAAAUGGUGUGGCAUCUGGAGAUGGGGGGCCCUCAGGGUCUUGCAUGGCAAGAAACUGCAGACUGGAAACACUGCUCCUCAUAUCUUAAGUAAAGGCUUUGCGAUGAUUGAUUAUUUUUCCUCUGAUAAAUACCUGGUUUUCAAAAGCAGUCUAAAUAGUAGGGAUCUCCAUUUUCCAAGUAUUCGAAAUGCAUUUGGCUGUCCUAUCAUUAAACCCAGACCCAGGAGACCAGCCGAGACGUCUGAGCCCUUCCCACGUUCGCGGCAGAGACACUCCUGCUCACUGAAUAUCCUCGAGUAACCCUGUAUUUCCCGCCCCGCUGCCAUUUGCCAGGGCCAGCCGACUGGUUCUGAGCAAUGGGCAGGGAGCACAAGGGACUUGUACAUGAUCCUGCAGAAGCCCUAAAGGUCACGCGUGAAAGCCAUCACAAGCUGGAACUGAGUCACCACAAAGAGCACAGCUGCCCUUGACGGUCACCUGAUUCAUCGUGGCCUUUGUAUGAGCGAAAAACAAACCUCUGUGGUGUUAGCCUUGUGAAAUGAAACACUGGGAUUUUUUGUGACUGCAGAAAAGCCCAGCUCAACCUAUCGAUACAACAGGACGCUGAAGAGGGCUCCUAUCAUCACCCCAUUUUGGAAGACCCCACUGCAAGCCUCUUAUCUUGAUGUGUUUGUAGUAGAUGGAGAGAAGAUGCUCUCUCCUCGGACCCCAAGGACUCCCCAGUUACGAAAUGCUCCAUCGGCAUUCACACGUGCAGUAAAUAAUCAUUGAGUGCCAACCAUGUGCCAGGGCCCUUAUUGGCACUGGGGAUUGCGUGGUUAGCAAAACGGACUCCAUCUCGUCUUUGCCUACAGCUUUCAGUCCGUCGGAAGAGACUGCUGCUCGACAAAUAAGCAUGCCGAUGAGCGCAGAAUAACUAGCAGAGCAUCUCACAGCUCAGCCACUGGGUUCCAAGAGGCAGUGUCAUGUUUGCAAAUGCAGAAGAACGGCAGAUCUCCUAAGGUCCGGAUUCCAUUGGUCAGAACAGAUCACAAGUCCAGCCCAGGUUCAAGAGGAAGUGACUCCACCUCCUGGUGGCAGGACUAGCAAAGGAUUUGCAGCCACCUUCAAUCCACCAGAAGGGAAAAAACAAAAGGAACCGGAGGAAGCUUUUGGAGGCAAUGGGAGGAAGAGAAAUGAGAUCUGCAACUUUGUUUGAAAUGCGUCAGACUUCAAGGUAGAUCAACAGAUGGAAAUGGGAUGGAUAGACUAAUGAUAAAGCAGGUACAGUAGAAUAUUAACCGUAGAGCCUGUGUGAUCACUGCAACAUUCUUUAGACUUCUUGGUAUGUUUGGAAAUUUUUAUAUUAAAUUUUGGAGGUAAAAACUUGAGCAGUUUCCAUAGUGCUCCUGGGUUUCUUUACCCCCUCCUGCCUCCCUUCUCCCCUCCCUGAUCCCUUCUCCUCUCCUCUCCUCCUCUCCCACCUCCUAUCCUCUGCCUUCUUGC